GUAUUUACAAGUGCUGCAUUUCAAGCGCACCGAUUGUCCUCCCCUAGAGUCUGAGUGAAUGGUAUUGUCCGUAAGAACCUGUACAUAGAGAGGGAGAGCGCGAGCGCAGCACGAGAGGACAACGCUCAUCGGCGGGAAUGGCGGAGACCGUUCGCUCGCUCAUCGACUACCGGGAGCCGCCGCAGCUGGACAGCAACGGAGAGAGCAGCAAGCCGCCGCAGACGCGAGGACGUGGCUGUGGAAGGAAAAGGAAAGGGACACCAGUAAAGGUGUGCGACAGAGUCUUUGCUACAGAGGAUGAAGAGGAGAGCAUGUCAGAGAACAGCUAUGGACCAGAGAAAGGUGAAGUGUGUGUUUUUAGCCUUUUUGUUACUUUAACUGAUACAUAAGAAUAAAGAAAACUGAAAAUGAUCAAAAAGGGAAGAACUGCAAAUAUCAGGAGCCAGUCUAAAGUGGUGUUGACACUGAUGACAAAGUGACCAGAGGAAGUUCAUUUUCAAUAAGAGUAGGCAAUUUGAGCCAAUCUGAGCAACUGAUAAGUGUUUAUGCCUAUUCCACGAUGCAG
rnacentral:lncRNA from 1 species